UACAGAGGUCCCAAGCGUUGUUCGGAUUCAUUGGGCGUAAAGGGUGCGUAGGCGGCCGUACAGGUCAGCUGUGAAAACUCGAGGCUCAACCUCGAGACGUCGGUUGAAACCGUACGGCUAGAGUCCGGAAGAGGAGAGUGGAAUUCCCGGUGUAGCGGUGAAAUGCGCAGAUAUCGGGAAGAACACCCGUGGCGAAGGCGGCUCUCUGGGACGGUACUGACGCUGAGACGCGAAAGCGUGGGGAGCGAACAGG
rnacentral:rRNA from 1 species